GACAUAUAUAACAAGGACUGGGACUGGGGUGGAUCAUUGGGAGGCUGAAACAUUGUUAAGGAAACCUGCAUAUCAGAGAAGCCUAAUAUGGAACAGUCAACUGCAAGCACAGAACAGUUACGCCUAAAAACCAAAGGGAAGAAGGAAAAGAAGAUCUCCUCUCAACAAAGGACCAAAACCAGUGGCAAGAUGCAGGAGAAAUCAGCCAAGGCUAAAAAAAACCUUCAAAGGAAUCCCAGGAAAAAAUGUUCUCCAUCAUCCCCUUCCUGUUCAAGAAGGUCUAGGGGAAUAGUUAGACCAACAAUAUUCAUCUGUUUCCACAAAAUGAAUAAGAUGCAGAAUAGCCAGCAGAUCAGGAGCAAAAGACACUGGAGAAUCCAGCCAUUCCAUGUCACAACCUGUGCAGCCAGUAAAUGCAGAGCCUGGGCCAGAGACUUAGAAUUAGCAGCAGCAUCUUCAGAGGUAACUGUGGAGAAAUGGGCUGUCACAUAGAGACCAAAUGUGAAGCCAACGGGAUCAUGGAAUUUAACAACUGAAAUAAAAUCCAUCAGAAGCAAAAA